CAAAAAUAAAGGCCUCAAUAAAAAAUAUAUUUUUGUUGAGGGACUGAUAAUCAGUUAGAGUUCUUUUUUAUUGAGGCACUGAUAAUCCUUUUUUUUGCUUCUUUAGCAUUUCAGAAUGCCUCCAGUAUCACCCUUAAAACCAAUUGCGUAGAAUCUUGUAACUUAGUAGGUGACGUUAUCGGUAAAAUUUUAUCUUGUAUUUAAGUAGGUACCUAUUUAUAUUAUGUUAUUGCUAUUUAUCUAUGAAAAUAAGACAAAAUAUAUGUUUUAUAAACAUUUAAGAGUCAUUUACAGUAGUAAAGUUUGAAAAAAAUAUUGCUGUGAAGUACAGAAUCACUUUCGUGGCAUCAAAAAAUUCAAAACGUUAAAGCUUCCAAACGAGACUCACUAUUUGACUGAUUUACUGAGAAUACAUUCUUCCCAUCAAGCGCUACAAUUUUUGUUUACAAAAAGUUGAAAUAAGUUAGAAAUAAAAUUUGCCACGAAGGUGACGAUGAGAACCGUGGCGAUGAGAAAUACCCAUUUUGGGUUGGCCGCCAUUUUGUCUCAAAAGAACCUACUCAUUUAUUGUCUGUCUAUAAUUUUAUUCGUAUCUUUUUCAACUAAAGUGUCUUCUAAUUCUAAUAUUUUAGCUGAAGCCCUAGGCUCCGGCCGCUGCCCGCCUCCCAAUAAAAUCCACACCUACAGCAAGAAGGCAACCUGCAAGCAGGACUACGAAUGCAAGAACGGGAUGAUCUGCUGCACCAAUCCUGCGCACGUCAAGUCCUGCACCUACCCUGAGCCCUAUAAUGGAGGGAAUGGAGGCAGCUAUAUGUAUUCAUCUAGCGGCACUAGUGUUCACUGCGAGGGUGUGAAGUGCCAGCCCUUCGAAGUCUGCAAGCCGGACCCCAUCACCAAGAGACUGAAGUGUUCUCGGCCUUAGACCUUAGUUUAAAAAAAAAUGGCCAAGUGCGUGUCGUGCGUGACACGCGCAGUGUAGGGUUCCGUAGUUGUCCGUCGUUACCACAAUAUAUUUUAGAAGCAAGCAAUUACUUCAUAUAAAGUCACUUUUCAUAUUUUCUUCUAAGAAAUUUUUACUGGUUAAGAAAUGUUAUAAUACCUACAUGAGUCAAAUGACUUUUACUCUUAAACUAACUUAUGUAUCUUAACCGUUAUAGUUUUCCUUGAAAGUUCAUAAAAAGCAGUAUUAUUCCGAAUUUUUCCAGAUGUUUCAGCACAGUUUAGUUUUUAGAAGGGGGGAGACGCCCUACUCGAACAAAAAUUGGCACUUUAAACUUUAAUAAUUUGCAAACAGAUCCCUAAAUGGAAAAAUAGUCUUAGAAACCUAAGCCAUUUUAAAAGAGCUAUCCAACGAUACCCCACACAAUGGGGUAGAAUAUGAAAAAAAAUCACUAAAAAACCCCACUUUACAUGUAGGUAAGGCAUUUUUUUUCAAAAUUUUGUUUUUUCCGUUUUGUCGGCGUGAAUAUACAUACUUCCACAAAAUUACAGCUCCAAUACAGUGCCAAUAUAGUUUCCAAGCAAAACCUUGGACAGACAGACAGACAUAUCGAAACUAUAAGGGUUCCUUGUCAGGACUACGGAACCCUAAAAAAGGUUUUACAGACCUCUUGCUGUAGGUCUAAAUGACGACAUUAUACGUUUUAUAAGCUUUGCGAACGCAAUUCACAAUGAACUGUGUCCAUAUUUUGUUUGCCUUUGUAUUGUAACUAACUUAAAUAUACAUAUGUGUAUCAUAAUAAAAUAUUUUUACUAUUUA